rnacentral:rRNA from 1 species
AUGGCGGGUUUGGCCAAGACCGGCAUGGAAUGGCUCCAAGAUCCACUGAGCUGGCUGUUCGUCGCCUCGGUGGUCUUCGUGGUGCUGCAGCGGCGCCGGCGGGGCAAGGCGCCGCCGUUUCCUCCCGGGCCGAAUCAGCUGCCGAUCGUCGGCAACAUGUCGAUGAUGGACCAGCUGACCCACCGGGGCCUGGCGGCGCUGGCGAAGCAGUACGGCGGCCUUCUCCACCUCCGCCUCGGUAAGCUCCAUGCCUUCGCCGUGUCGACGCCGGAGUACGCCCGGGAGGUGCUGCAGGCGCAGGACGGCGCCUUCUCCAACCGGCCGGCGACCAUCGCCAUCGCCUACCUCACCUACGACCGUGCCGACAUGGCGUUCGCGCACUACGGGCCCUUCUGGCGCCAGAUGCGCAAGCUGUGCGUGAUGAAGCUCUUCAGCCGGCGCCGUCCGGAGACGUGGGUCGCCGUGCGCGACGAAUCCGCGGCGCUCGUCCGCGCCGUGGCUCGGCGGAGCGGCGAGUCCGUGAACCUCGGCGAGCUCAUAUUCAACCUUACCAAGAACGUCAUCUUCCGCGCCGCGUUCGGCGCGGGCGCCGCCGCGGACGGCGACGGCGGCAAGCAGGACGAGUUCAUCGCCAUCCUCCAGGAGUUCUCCAAGCUGUUCGGCGCGUUCAACAUCGGCGACUUCUUCCCGUGGCUGAGCUGGGCGGACCCGCAGGGCAUCAACGUGCGCCUCCGCGCCGCGCGCGCCGCCCUCGACGAGUUCAUCGACAAGAUCAUCGACGAGCACAUGGCGAGGGGCAAGAGCCCGGACGACGUCGACGCGGACAUGGUGGACGACAUGCUGGCGUUCCUCCCCGAGGCGAAGCCGAAGAAGGCCGCCGGCGACGGCGGGGACGAGCUGCAGAGCACGCUCCGCCUCACGCGUGACAACAUCAAGGCCAUCAUCAUGGAUGUGAUGUUUGGCGGGACUGAGACGGUGGCCUCGGCGAUCGAGUGGGCCAUGGCAGAGAUGAUGCACAGCCCGGACGACCUCCGUCGAUUGCAGAAGGAGCUCGCUGACACGGUGGGUUUCGACCGGAAUGUGGAUGAGUCGGACCUCGACAAGCUCCCCUUCCUCAAGUGCGUCAUCAAGGAGACGCUCCGGCUGCACCCGCCCAUCCCGCUGCUCCUGCAUGAGACCGCCGAGGACUGCGUCGUCGGGGGCUACGCCGUGCCCCGAGCCUCCCGCGUCAUGAUCAACGUCUUCGCCAUCGGCCGCGACGCCAAGGCAUGGAAGGAUCCGGACACGUUCCGGCCGUCCCGGUUCGUGGCGGGGGAAGGGGAGGCUGCCGGGGUCGACUUCAAGGGCGGCUGCUUCGAGUUCCUCCCGUUCGGGUCUGGUCGCCGCUCAUGCCCCGGGUUGGCGCUCGGCCUGUACGCGCUGGAGCUCGCCGUCGCUCAGCUCGCCCACGGCUUCAGCUGGGCGCUACCUGACGGCAUGAAGCCAUCGGAGCUUGACAUGAGCGACAUCUUUGGCCUCACUGCGCCGCGCGCUACAAGGCUCUACGCCGUGCCCACACCCCGGCUCACCUGCCCCUUGGUCGCUGACGUUAAUGUCGACGGCAGGCACCAGGCGUGA